GACAGAGGAUGCAAGCGUUAUCCGGAAUUAUUGGGCGUGAAGAGCUCGUAGGCGGUUUGUCGCGUCUGCCGUGAAAGUCCGGGGCUCAACUCCGGAUCUGCGGUGGGUACGGGCAGACUAGAGUGAUGUAGGGGGAGACUGGAAUUCCUGGUGUAGCGGUGAAAAUGCGCAGAUAUCAAGAGGAACACCGGUGGCGAAGGCGGGUCUCUGGGCCGUAACUGACGCUGAGGAGCGAAAAGCGUGGGGGGAGCGAACAGG
rnacentral:rRNA from 1 species